UUUUUUUUUUUUUUUUUUUCGGGCACGCGACGAUGGAGGCGUGCCUAAUACCUUCACGUAGAGAGAUCAGAGAACAAGCGUGAAUCUUUCGAGGUUAGCGGCGGGGGGGGGAGUGACACGUGGGCUACCUUCCCUAUAGUUUGGCAUAACUCCGGGAAACCGGGGCUAAUACCGAGUAAUUUCUUUCUUCUCAUGGUGAAACAAAGAAAGAGAUUUUAGGCUGUCUCUAUAUGAGGGGCCCGCGGCUCAGUAGAUAUUUUGUGAGGUAAAGGGUCACCAAGGGGACGAUGUGUAUACGACCUGAGAGGGUGAUCCCCCACACUGGGAGUGAGACACGGCCCCCAGUCUUAUGGGAGGCAGCACUAGGGAAUUUUUCACAAUGGGCGAAAGCUUGAUGGAGCAACGCCGCGUGAGUGAAGAAGGAUUUUGGUUUGUAAAAAUCUGUUUUAAGGGAAGAACAAAUACAGUAGUAAAUGCCUGUACCUUGACGGUACCUUAUUAGAAAGCCCCGGGUAAAUAUGUGCCAGCACCCGCGGUAAUAUGUAGGGGGCACGCGUUGUCCUGAAUUAUUGGGGGUAAAGCGCGUGCAGGGGGUUUUUUAAGUGUGAGGUGAAAGCUCCCGGGUCUCCCCUGGAGGGUCAUUGGAAACUGGGAGACUUGAGUGCAGAAGAGGAGAGUGGAAUUUCACGUGUAGCGCUGAAAUGUGUAGAGAUUUGGAGGAACACCAGUGGGGAAGGCGCCUCUCUGGUCUGUAAUUGACACUGUGGCGCGAAAGCGUGGGGAGCAAACACGAUUAGAUACCCCGGUAGUCCACGCCGUAAACGAUGAGUGAUAAGUGUUAGGGGGCUCCGC
rnacentral:rRNA from 1 species